rnacentral:rRNA from 1 species
GAUGAACGCUGGCGGCGUGCCUAAUACAUGCAAGUCGAGCGAACAGACGAGGAGCUUGCUCCUCUGACGUUAGCGGCGGACGGGUGAGUAACACGUGGAUAACCUACCUAUAAGACUGGGAUAACUUCGGGAAACCGGAGCUAAUACCGGAUAAUAUAUUGAACCGCAUGGUUCAAUAGUGAAAGACGGUUUUGCUGUCACUUAUAGAUGGAUCCGCGCCGCAUUAGCUAGUUGGUAAGGUAACGGCUUACCAAGGCGACGAUGCGUAGCCGACCUGAGAGGGUGAUCGGCCACACUGGAACUGAGACACGGUCCAGACUCCUACGGGAGGCAGCAGUAGGGAAUCUUCCGCAAUGGGCGAAAGCCUGACGGAGCAACGCCGCGUGAGUGAUGAAGGUCUUCGGAUCGUAAAACUCUGUUAUUAGGGAAGAACAAAUGUGUAAGUAAUUAUGCACGUCUUGACGGUACCUAAUCAGAAAGCCACGGCUAACUACGUG